AGCCCGGAAAGAGUCUUCUAUAUUAGUCACUACCUCGCGGGUUCCUCUUUCUCCUCGUUGCAUCGUCUUGUGGUGUGGAAGGUUCCUGGUAGAACUUAAACCGCAAUUAAGUGAAACAAUGUUUAACCUUUGUUUUUCAAAAUAUCACGUAGUCCAUGAAGGCUCGUAUGCAGGCUUGGGACCAGUAGUAUGGGCGCCGUGUAGGUGCUCGAUGGCAAUGGCGGGGUCCGUGGGGAAACUGCAUCCAAUAAAGGCUUCCAGAAGAGAGCAUGUGGUUACGAAACCCAAUUAAACGGCUAGACCUCCUAGACGCUGAUGACUGACAAUGCAGCCGCGCAGACGACUACGCUUGUUGUUUAGGGAAGGAGAAGCAGAUCACAUAUUCACCACCUCAAGACUUGGAUGUCUUACUCUAAUUUCCCAGCAGUGCUUCAUUGGUCAAACUGGAGGUGUAGCACCGCCCAGGGCUACCAUAACCUACAGAAUAGUUAUACAUUCCUGGGACUGCUCCAUGGGUCAAACUGGAGGUGUAGCAGCACCCAGCUGGAUGACCACCACAGCCUAGUUCUACAUUGACUCUGAGCUAAAGUUGAAGAGGUAGCACAACCUCAAGACUGCAGUUGGUGAUGGUGUAAUUUGACAACACUUGUAACGGGAAGGAGAAGCAGAUCUCAUAUUCACCAGCACCUCAAGACUUGUGGUCUUGCUCUACCUUCUCAAGGACCGCCGCAUGAGUUGAACCGGGUCCAGGACUUCUGCUGGCUGUAGUUUAGAUCCGUGCUGAUGGGACUCCGACGACUACGCUGGUUGUACAGGGAAGGAGAAGCAGAUCCCAUAAUCGCCACCUCAAGACUUGAUAUAUUACUAUACCUCAGAUUUGCCAUGGACUGCAUCAUGGGUCAAACUGGAGUUGUAGCAGCAACCAGCUGGGUGGCCAUCAUGGCCCGAAGCCUAGUUCUAGAUAGCUGCAUGAUGUUUAACUGGGAGCAGGACGUCUAGUGGCUGUAGUUUGGCCCUGUGCGGUUUGACUCCGCAGGCUACACGUGUUGUACCUGGAAGGAGAAGCAGAUCCCAUAUUCGCCAACACCUCAAUACUUGACGUCUGACUACUGGCUGUAGUUUGGAUCAGUGCUGUUUGACUCUGCCUUGCAGACAUGCGCUUGUACUGGGAAGGAGAGGCAGAACUCAUAUUCACCACCACCUCAAGACUGGUGUUGGCUUACUAUAAUUAAACGCUGGGGGAGAACCAAGCAACACUUGGUUAUGGCAGUGUGGAAGAGCUCCAAGAUGGGCUGUUUGAAAGAAUUCACUGAGCAUGAUAAAGGGAACUGACAUACUGUCAUCCCCUAUUAAUGAAUGUACACUGACUGUACACAUUAUGGGCGUACAAGACCACUAGACUUUUCAGGGGCUGAAAUACAACACUUCUAAUGUACAAAUGAAUGUCGUGCCAAUAAAAAAUAAACAUAA
ensembl:lncRNA